UACGAAGGGGGCUAGCGUUGUUCGGAUUUACUGGGCGUAAAGCGCACGUAGGCGGAUCGUUAAGUCGGGGGUGAAAUCCUGGAGCUCAACUCCAGAACUGCCUUCGAUACUGGCGAUCUUGAGUCCGGAAGAGGUGAGUGGAACUCCUAGUGUAGAGGUGGAAUUCGUAGAUAUUCGCAAGAACACCAGUGGCGAAGGCGACCACCUGGACUGAUACUGACACUGAGGUGCGAAAGCGUGGGGAGCAAACAGG
rnacentral:rRNA from 1 species